UACGGGGGGGGCAAGCGUUGUCCGGAAUCACUGGGCGUAAAGGGCGCGUAGGCGGCCUGGUAAGUAGGGGGUGAAAUCCUGCGGCUUAACCGCAGGGCUGCCUUCUAAACUGUCAGGCUUGAGCACGGUAGAGGCAGAUGGAAUUCCCGGUGUAGCGGUGGAAUGCGUAGAGAUCGGGAAGAACAUCAGUGGCGAAGGCGGUCUGCUGGGCCGUUGCUGACGCUGAGGCGCGACAGCGUGGGGAGCGAACCGG
rnacentral:rRNA from 1 species